rnacentral:rRNA from 1 species
UUGGAGGGCAAGUCUGGUGCCAGCAGCCGCGGUAAUUCCAGCUCCAAUAGCGUAUAUUAAAGUUGUUGCAGUUAAAAGCUCGUAGUUGAAUUUCGGGAUCAAUAUGUCGGUCGUGCCUCGGUACGUACUGGCAUCAUUGGUUUCUCCCUUCUGAUGAACCAUGAUGCCAUUAAUUUGGUGUCGUGGGGAAUCAGGACUGUUACUUUGAAAAAUUAGAGUGUUUAAAGCAGGCUCACGCUUGAAUACAUUAGCAUGGAAUAAUGAAAUAGGACGUUUGAUUCUAUUUUGUUGGUUUCUAGGAUCGACGUAAUGAUUAAUAGGGAUAGUUGGGGGCAUUAGUAUUCAAUUGUCAGGUAGGUAGUAAA